ensembl:lncRNA
AGCACACCUGCGAUCAGCUGUCAGUGGAUAUUGAGACAAUUGUUUUAAAGAUCUACAGCCACUUCUCAGUAUCUGCUUCCCGAAGAGAGAAACUGACUGCAUUUUAUGCCUUUGUUGUCAUUGAAUGGAGGGAAAUUCUGCGACAUGUUUGAACACGAUGGCUCUCUCUUCAUCCAGCUGUCGAUCGUCUCCUGCAAAGCUGGCCAGCUCUUACUUCGUACUUCAGGUCCCUUGGCGAGACCUGUCCUGUGGCGCUGAAGAGUAUUUUUGAGUAUUUAGAAAAAACGGAAGCUGCUGAGAUGUAUCUGUGCUUUUUCCACAACGUGGGGUGUGUUUUUGACCAACUCGUAAAAAAGCUGGAGGAAACAACUCUCUGCAACACAGAUGUUUACGAGGAAGUCCAACAUUUCAAAAUGAAGAUGUUUCAGUGGAAACAGAACAGUUUUUUUGGAUACCAGACCAAGCAGCUGAUGGACAAGCAAUUGUCAGCACAAAGGUCCAAGCAGCAACAGGACUUUAUGAAGUUCUAUGACACUGUCAUUACAUACAUUUUCUGGUGAGAAAUCAAACCACUUAUCAAUGUAAUGGUGAAACUGAAACCGAUCAGCCUCUGAGGAGCUCUCCUUCACUGACCUGGAGCAGGUGGUGGUUGCCCUCAAAAUGACAGAAACAGUCAGUAUGGACCAACUCUAUGAAGAGUGUUGUGCCUGGAGGAAAUACAGAAAGACAGACAGAAUAUCACAAAAUCCACCAGUGAGAAGUGGGUGGCAGUUUUCCAAAACCCAAGGAAAGCCAACUUGAUCAACAUGUUCAGGAUUGUCUCAUUUGUCCUCAGUGUGCCAGGCUCAAAUGCCUUUUUGGAGAGGAUUUUCUCUCUGAUGACCAUUAAAUGGUCAGACUCAAGAGACGAUGUAGCACAGAGGCUCUGUGACAGAGCUGAUCAAAAAUGAACUUCAAAUAUCUGUGAGCUGUGACUUGUCAUGUAAGGACUUCUCUCUGGCUAUGCAUAAGGACAAAGGACUGCUUGAAUCAGUCAAGAGCAGCAAAAAAAUAUCCAUGGAAAAAGUAGACUUGGAAGGAAAUCUUGCUGUUUUGCCAUUGCUGCUUGACAACUACACCCCUUGUAUGGAUGGUCUGCCCAUGUUCAUCCUACAUUUGGCUAUUGGGGUGUGAACUGUGAACUAUUCUUAUCCAUGACCAUGUCCUAUCAAUAUGUGAUCAAUAUGUAUCAAUAAGUUCUUCUAGACUAGAGUGACUAAUUGGAAGGUUGGUGUUAUGUUGCGUAGAUGAACUGGGACAAUGACAAGGAUUGCUUCAGAGACUUCAGCAAGGAGUGCAUCCUGUUCUAUUCCAUCAGGAAACCGUAUGUCCAGGAGGUGGAGGUAGGAGAGGGCAGGUAUUUCACAUGCACCUUCUUGGGUUGUGUUCAUUCGGAUCCAAACCGAAGACAACGGACUGACAUGGAAGGACUACUGGACUUUGCCACUAACAAACUAUAAUUUUUGCUUUCUGUUGCAUGCCUAAUAAACACAACACGGUUGAGUGAUUAGGAUAUAUAAGUGGGCAGUUGAUGGCAUCUAGGCUACAUUUAGUAUGUACCAAGAAAGGAUUCGGGAGCAAAUCUUUUUGAAAUGGAAGAAGUACUGCCAGAAUGCCAAAUAGGAACCCAGUCUUGUGUUUUCAGUUUAAAGUAGACUUUGUCUACUUCCCCAGAGUCAGAUGAACUUGUGGAUACCAGUUUCAUGCGCCAAUGAUAACUAGCAUUAGUGUAAUGGUGUAAUCUGUAUUGAAAAGUGAUAACAUGCUCUGACAAAUUUGUUUAAGGGGUCGCCCUGCAACAAUCCUUCUCUCAGCAAACUCAAAGGAAGAGUUAAUUCGGACUAAACCCGAGAGAUUCCUGAACAACCUCACGUGCUGCAAAUAGCACAAAAGGGACCCCUUCAUCUGAGUCUCUCAAACUCAAAGCAAAAGUCUGAUAAUCUCUCAAGAGCACCUUGAGUCUCAG